rnacentral:ncRNA from 1 species
UAGUGAGCGUUGAAAGGCUUAGUAGUGUGAAUGGUAUUGGAUCAGAGAGCUAAUGGUUGGUGAGAAUUAGCACAGACAUUGACAUGAAUUACACCCUGGAGCAUUCUUUUUCGAAAUUUGUUUAAUGCAAAUUAGGAUUAGAACGGUUAACAACCGUUAAUUGUAUGAGAGGUAGCUGUUUUAUUAGCUACAACUAGGGUGGUACCGCGAUUAUAAUUAUUCGUCCCUACU